AACGAACGCUGGCGGCAUGCCUAACACAUGCAAGUCGAACGAGACCUUCGGGUCUAGUGGCGCACGGGUGCGUAACGCGUGGGAACCUGCCCUUAGGUUCGGAAUAACUCCCCGAAAGGGGUGCUAAUACCGGAUAAUGUCUUCGGACCAAAGAUUUAUCGCCUUUGGAUGGGCCCGCGUUGGAUUAGCUAGUUGGUAGGGUAAAAGCCUACCAAGGCGACGAUCCAUAGCUGGUCUGAGAGGAUGAUCAGCCACACUGGGACUGAGACACGGCCCAGACUCCCUACGGAAGGAAGCAGUGGGGAAUAUUGAACAAUGGGCGAAAGCCUAAUCAGCAAUGCCGCGUGAGUGAUGAAGGCCUUAGGGUUGUAAAGCUCUUUUACCCGGGAUGAUAAUGACAGUACCGGGAGAAUAAGCUCCGGCUAACUCCGUG
rnacentral:rRNA from 1 species